rnacentral:misc_RNA from 1 species
GGCCGUUCCUGCCAGUGUUCGUAAAGCUGGGACGGCAGCUCGACGAAAUCGGUGAACACGCUGGUGCCCGACAGCGACGGGUACAUCACGUUCGACAGCAUGCCAUGCAGCCCGUGGCCGAAUUCGUGGAACAGGGUACGGGCGUCGUCGGGCGACAGCAGCGACGGCUGGCCGUCGGUGCCCUUGGAGAAAUUGCAGACAUUGAUGACCAGCGGCGCGACAUCGCCAUCAAGUUUCUGCUGGUCGCGCAGCGACGUCAUCCACGCGCCGGAACGCUUGGAGGGCCGCGCGAAGUAGUCGC